rnacentral:misc_RNA from 1 species
AAGUCGUAACAAGGUUUCCGUAGGUGAACCUGCGGAAGGAUCAUUAAUGAGAAGCGGCCUCGCGGCCGUGGGGGCUUCGGUCCCCGACUCACACCCUCUGUUUACAUACGUUUGUUGCUUUGGCGGGCCUUGGGGUCAUACCCAUGCGUCUCAAGGGCUGCUCCGGUGACGGACAGCCUGGCGCGUGCGCCCGUCAAAGGCCCUAUCAAUUCUGUUUAUCAGUGUCGUCCGAGUAAAAACCAAAUAAAUUAAAACUUUCAACAACGGAUCUCUUGGUUCUG